rnacentral:rRNA from 1 species
UCCAGCAGCAGUAUCACCCUGCAUCUCACAACUGGAAGUCCACUGAAGCUAAGCAGAUGAGCCUGGUCAGUACCUGGAUGGAAGACCUACUGGGAAAAAAAGGUUGCUGUUGGAA